GCCGGGCAUGGUGGUGCACACCUGUAAUCCCAGCAACUUGGGAGGCUGAGGCAGGAGAAUCAUGAGUUCAGAGCCAGCCUCAGCAACUUAGCAAGACCCUAAGCAACUCAGUGAGACCUUGUCUUUA
rnacentral:sRNA from 1 species